rnacentral:tRNA from 1 species
CGAGGAUUUUCAGUCCUCUGCUCUACCAGCUGAG